rnacentral:rRNA from 1 species
UAAGACGAACCGUGCGAACGUUAUUCGGAAUCACUGGGCUUAAAGCGCGUGUAGGCGGGCCGGCACGUCGGUCGCUGAAAUCCCCCGGCUCAACCGGGGAAGGGGCGCCGAUACGACCGGCCUGGAGGGGCGUAGGGGGACCGGGAACUUCCGGUGGAGCGGUGAAAUGCGUUGAGAUCGGAAGGAACGCCCGCGGCGAAAGCGCGGUCCUGGACGCCUGCUGACGCUGAGACGCGAAAGCCAGGGGAGCGAACGGG